GAUGAACGCUGGCGGCGUGCCUAAUACAUGCAAGUCGAGCGAAGCGGGGACGGGGGAUUAACACGUGUAUAACCUCCUAGAAGAAUGGGAUAACUUCGGGAAACCUGAGCUAUACCGGAUCCUUAUUGUUGGAUCCGCGCUGCAUUAGCUAGUGGGUAAGGUAACGGCUUACCAAGGCAACGAUGCAUAGCCGACCUGAGAGGGUGAUCGGCCACACUGGAACUGAGACACGGUCCAGACUCCUACGGGAGGCAGCAGUAGGGAAUCUUUCGCAAUGGGCGAAAGCCUGACGGAGCAACGCCGCGUGUGUGAUGAAGGUCUUCGGAUUGUAAAACUCUGUUAUUAGGGAAGCGGUACCUAAACAGAAAGCCACGGCUAACUACGUGCCAGCAGCCGCGGUAAUAC
rnacentral:rRNA from 1 species